GCUUGUACCUUUUGUAUCAUGGUUCAAUAAGGUUAUAUAAAUGAGGUUUUAUAGCCCGAAGCUGAGCGAGCUAGUGUACUCUGCUUUUAGAGAGAAAGUUUUUACUGUUGCAAUAGUAAGACUUGAGGGUACAAUAGGUGUGAAAUGCUUACCGCGCUCAGGGAUAGCUGGUUUUCUUAGAAAUAAGUAUGAGCUUAGUGCAUAUUUUUAUUACGACAGUAUUUAUUUUAUAGGAUAAAAGAAAUUGUUUUAAUAAUAGUGUGUGUGUGAGACAGGAAGGGAUAAGCUUUUCUGUCAAAAAAGAAAAAGCUUUAAUUAUUAAUAAAGGAUAGUUGGCAAUGUGUUGUAUGUUUAUAAAAAGUAGGAUUAAUAGCAUCUAACUUUAUAGAAAGCGUUAAAGCUAAUUUAAGUAAAGCAACGCAAAAAAUUUAUAACUAAUAAUCCCAAAUUAUAAGAAUAUAUAGGAAGAUUUCAUUAACUUGAAAGUUAUAAUGUUGAAAUUAGUAAAGAAUAAAAUUAUAUUUUUUGUGAUUUAAUCAACCCUAACUUUUGGAUGGAGUAAUAGUUUAUGAUCGAGAAGCUAGUUUAUUCAAGUUGUCUACUAACACAAGUAAUAUAUUUAUAAGUUAAAUAAGGGAAAGGAAUUCGGCAAAUAAAAACUUCGCCUGUUUACCAAAAACAUCGCUCUUUGUAAAGAGUCUAAUAUAUAAAGAGUCCUGCCUGCCCGGUGACUUAGUUAAACGGCCGCGGUAUCUUGACCGUGCAAAGGUAGCAUAAUCAUUUGCCUUUUAAAUGGGGGCUGGUAUGAAUGGCAAGACGGGAGUUAAGCUGUCUCUCUCUUAAAAUUUUGAAAUUGAUAUUCUUGUGAAGAAGCAGGAAUAUAAUCGUAGGACGAGAAGACCCUAUCGAGCUUCAGUAGAAUAUGGUACAAUGUUGUUAAUACUAUUUUAUUGCUAAUUAAUUAUUACAAAUGAUUAUUGUGGUUUUACUGUAAGGUAGUAAUAUUGUGUAUCUAAUACUUAGGUUGGGGCAACCGCGGAGAAUAAGAAUCCUCCGCUAGUUUAUUGGAAAAAAGAUUUUUUUCUUGUAUAAAAUCUUAUAUAUAAGUGAUCCAUUUGAAAGAGUGAGCAAAAGAAUAAGUUACCGUAGGGAUAACAGCGUAAUUUUUUUGGAGAGUUCAUAUUGAUAAAAAAGUUUGCGACCUCGAUGUUGGAUCGGGAUU
rnacentral:rRNA from 1 species